CUUAUGAACGUUUUGAAAAAUAUCCGGGUGACAUCAUGAAAAAAGAGAAGAGCAACAUGAAGUUAGAGCAGGACAUCCAGAAAAUGACAGAGGAAGCAAACAAAGUCAGACUCUCAAAACCAGAAGACAUCAUUUCUCUUGAAGGAGACAUUGAGGAAAUGAAUGCCAACAUACAAGUGACCAAUAAGGAGCUGGUGCUGUUCCAGCAGAAACUGGAGGAAGAGGUGAAGAAAAACCAGAAGGAGAAGAAAAUCAACCAGGAGACACUGAA